rnacentral:rRNA from 1 species
GGAGGCACGUUUGUCGGAAUUAUUGGGCGUAAGAGCUCGUAGGCGGCUUGUCGCGUCUGCUGUGAAAGCCCGGGGCUUAACUCCGGGUGUGCAGUGGGUACGGGCAGGCUAGAGUGCAGUAGGGGUAACUGGAAUUCCUGGUGUAGCGGUGAAAUGCGCAGAUAUCAGGAGGAACACCGAUGGCGAAGGCAGGUUACUGGGCUGUUACUGACGCUGAGGAGCGAAAGCAUGGGGAGCGAACAGGAUUAGAUACCCUGGUAGUCCAUGCCGUAAACGUUGGGCACUAGGUGUGGGGGACAUUCCACGUUUUCCGCGCCGUAGCUAACGCAUUAAGUGCCCCGCCUGGGGAGUACGGCCGCAAGGCUAAAACUCAAAGGAAUUGACGGGGGCCCGCACAAGCGGCGGAGCAUGCGGAUUAAUUCGAUGCAACGCGAAGAACCUUACCAAGGCUUGACAUACACCGGAUCGUUCCAGAGAUGGUUCUUCCCUUUUGGGCUGGUGUACAGGUGGUGCAUGGUUGUCGUCAGCUCGUGUCGUGAGAUGUUGGGUUAAGUCCCGCAACGAGCGCAACCCUCGUUCUAUGUUGCCAGCACGUGAUGGUGGGGACUCAUAGGAGACUGCCGGGGUCAACUCGGAGGAAGGUGGGGAUGACGUCAAAUCAUCAUGCCCCUUAUGUCUUGGGCUUCACGCAUGCUACAAUGGCCGGUACAAUGGGUUGCGAUACUGUGAGGUGGAGCUAAUCCCAAAAAGCCGGUCUCAGUUCGGAUUGGGGUCUGCAACUCGACCCCAUGAAGUCGGAGUCGCUAGUAAUCGCAGAUCAGCAACGCUGCGGUGAAUACGUUCCCGGGCCUUGUACACACCGCCCGUCAAGUCACGAAAGUUGGUAACACCCGAAGCCGAUGGCCUAACCCUUGUGGAGGGAGUCGUCGAAGGUGGGACUGGCGAUUGGACUACAAAGAAAG